CUCUGGAUUUUAUUACCAAGUGUUUGCGUGAAACAAACUCAUUUUAAGACUGAUAGAAAAUCAGAUGUUGGGGUGUGUAAUAGCACUGUUUCCAAGAAAAAUGAAGCAAAUGGGCUGAUAUUGAAUUGUGGGGGGAGACAGAAAAGGGAUCUAAAGCUCUGAGCAUGGGAUGAAUAAGCGAGCACCAGAAAUUUCUGCUUCUGUUUCCAUUUUGAAUGGAAUUCUAUGACACCCCAUUGGAAUUCUCCAAGCUCAACGCAUGAUCUAGCACAUUCCUCCAAGCUCCAUCUCCGAACUGUCAAGUUUCACUUUAGCUCUGUUCAUGGCAAUGGCGUUUUUCAAAAUCAAUUGCCAGACACAACCAUAAAUCCAAUGAAAUAGUAGGGUAGGGGGCACUACAGAUGAGUUUAUGGAAUCCAGAUGAAAAAAAGUGAGAAACCGAGAGAAAUCAAAAUUGAGAGAUUCGCCCAACCCUUCUCAGAUUAUAUACAUUUUAUGCAAAAGUCCAUGAAAGAAUCCGAACACCAUAGUUUAAAACUACUGCUAGAGGACAAGAAUCCCAAGACUACAUUAAAUGUAGCCAAAUUCUGUGUGUCUGCAAUCAAUCGCAGGAAGCAAGUGGUAUCCCAUAAUGAUCAAACUCCUAAAUGCUAACUACAGGGGAUCCAUCCGCGAAGAGGUCCCCUCCUUUGCUCCAUCAAAGCUCUUGCCAGGCUUUUCACUCAACAGAAGAGAAGGGAAACUUUACUGAGCAUCUGCAGAUGCAGAGUUAGAGCAGAAUUAACAGUCCUCUGAGGUGACAUGCCCUGAACAGUGACUCCCACAGAAGCACAGUCCGUUGGCUCCGUUGAGGAUGGAGAAUUCUUCUAACAUUCAUGCUAAAAUUAAAAUAUUUUCAGGUGCAGUAGUGAAAUAUAUCCUACAUAAAAAGAAACGCUUCCUUUUUCAACAUCUAUUGGAGUGAUAGACAUUGAUACGCAAUAUUGUACAUCAAAAGCUUGCACAAUAUGAGCAUGUGUAAGAGUCUCUUUUCAGGGGAAUUUAAAUUUUUGAAUACUGAUUAUUUUGCCUUUCACAGCCAAGACAGGAGCAACCUUCUGAAUCAGAGACAGUGACGUCGUGUUUUCUGACAUUAAACUGAGAGCCCUGUGAUGGAAAACAUUCUACAGAACAAACCACUACGGCGAUGAGGGACGUCAGCAUGAUUUCAUUCAGUGGUUAUGUAGGUCUAUUUGCUUGAUCUGCUAACACAUUAUUGCUAAACUGAACAUUUGGGGUUUACGGAUUUUUGCAAUCAAGCAUGCUGGAAGAGGAAGAGCGUUCCUACUGCACUGAUUACUUCUUUUUCUUAAAUGUCUACUUUUGUUCCAGAAUAUUUUGGCACACAUUGUUCUCCUGGAGAUGAGCUUAGGGACUUCCGCAUCCAGAAUUGAGAGCUGUGUCUCGUUCCUUUUGUUGGGCACAACACUGAACAGGUUGGCACAGCUGUCAGUUCUGACAGCUCCAGUGACUUGUGUAAGUUUGUGAGAGCAGGGACUGAAUCUGUCCCCGCCCCAUGAAAAAACAACAGGGCAGAUGUUCCAACCUAGAGAUGCAACACCUAUCCAUUGAUUUCCAAACAGUGCAAACUCAAUAGUCACAGCUAUGAAGAAGUGUUCCGAAUACAGCAACACGUUUCUAAAUAGAGCCUAAACAAAACGAACAAAACAAAGAAAAGUUGUGAUUCAUUGUGAAGUUAGGCCAAUUGUGCAGAACAGGGAAUGAGAUGCAAUAGCAGAGGUAGCCAACCUAGUGCCCCCUAUUCCUUUUUUUUUAAAAAAAAAUAGUUUUAUUAGAGAUUUUCUUGGCUACAAAACAAACAAAUAAACAGGGGAAAGUGCAUAUAGCAUCUCCACUUUUGAUUUAUGGAGUCUUUUUCACAGUUCAUUUGUGUUUUGUAUGAGACACUAUCAUUCUAGAUACAGUUGGGGGAGAAAGAGAGGAGAGUGAUAGGAGGGUGCUGUUCUUUUGUUCUAUUGCAUUGUAUUGCAUUGCAUUUGUGUAGGGUAUUGUGUCAGAGACCUUGCUGACAAAGGUCCGUAUAGUUAAAGCUAUGGUUUUCCCAGUAGUGAUGUAUGGAAGUGAGAGCUGGAUCAUAAAGAAGGCUGAUUGCCAAAGAAUUGAUGCUUUUGAAUUAUGGUGCUGGAGGAGACUCUUGAGAGUCCCAUGGACUGCAAGAGGAUCAAACCUAUCCAUUCUGAAAGAAAUCAGCCCUGGGUGCUCACUGGAAGGACAGAUCCUGAAGCUGAGGCUCCAAUACUUUGGCCACCUCAUGAGAAGAGAAGACUACCUUGAAAAGACCCUGAUGUUGUGAAAGAUUGAGGGCACAAGGAGAAGGGGGCGACAGAGGACGAGAUGGUUAGACAGUGUUCUUGAAGCUACUAACAUGAGUUUGACCAAACUGCAGGAGGCAGUGGAAGACAGGAGUGCCUGGUGUGCUCUGGUCCAUGGGGUCACGAAGAGUCGGACACAACUAAACGACAACAACAACAACUUGUCAGCACCAUGUGGGUAUGUAUUUUAUUUGUGCCUCUAUUUAAUUUUUAUUGGCAUUGUGAGAGAUUCCCCCAGGUGCUUUUCUUUACCACAACUCUGAGCAGCCCCAGACACCACUGCUAAUGGGUCAGGGAUUUGGGGAGCUGAAAUCCACCACAUCUGGUGGACACCAUGAUAGCUGGCUACCCUUGUGCAAUAGUAUGGUGCCAUGUAAAAUAAAAAGUUGUCAGCAAUGGGUGGGGACUAGAGAAGAGCCCUAUUCAGCACAAUUUACAAGGGGAAGUCACUCAGCAACGUGAAUAGAAAAUGAGAACUAUAGCUACCGGUAGCUGUUGGACAUGAGCUACAAUCCCAAAUAGGAACAACCCAGGAAGCUGCAAUAUAGUGAGUUGGACCAUUGGUCCAUCUUGUGCAGCAAAUUCACUAGCAAUCUGUUUAUGCAUUCUCUUGCACAACAAUGUUCUUUGAGCGCAAAGCAUUUCAACAGUGAGACAAAUGUACCAUUGAGUGACUUUAACUUAGUGCUACAUUGGAUAUAACCCACUGUGCUCAGUGAGAUUUGCUCCCGAGUAAAUAUGUUUAGGAUUGGAGCUUUUGAAUUCUCUACUUUUCAGCUGCUGUUGCUGCUUUUAAAAACCGACUCAUGAUUUCCUUAGUACUUUGCUGUUUGGAUCAAAUGUAACUUUUAAAAUUUUAUGUAACAUGAAGCAACUUCGAAAGCGUUUAAUGAAUGAAAGUGGAAUAGAAACAUUGCCAAUAAAUACAUAAAUAGAUAAGACUAGUGGAAGAGUCUAUUGAAACUAUCUGCAAAUGCAAAAGCUUCAAAAGGCAGUCUUCUGAACCAGGGGUGGCCCAUCAUAAUGUGGUCUUCCAGAUGUUCCUGGACUCCAACUCCCAUCUUCCAUGGUCAAUGGCCAUUCUGGCUAAGGCUAAUGGGUGUUGGGUAUCCAACCACAUCUGGGGGGCAUAUGUUAGCCACUCUGGGAGGAAUUCAAUGUAGCUUUAAUGUGUUUCACCUUCCCAGAUGUAAUGAUCUCUCCUCUUCUUCUGCUGUGCACUGUCCUGGGAGUUCCCCCGACACCUCACUGGAGUUAAUUUGGUGUGUGUGUGCUGGGGUGGGGUGGGGACAGGGAACAAAAAGUCCUGUUGCACUAGCAGAAGAACUUGAAACUGGCCCCCUGAUCUAGCGUGGUUCACUAAAGAAGAGAGAACUCACUGGGGUAUUAAUGACGUUAUUCCCACUCUUGGUAGAACUGUUCUCUCAUUUCCAACAGAUUUUUCUUUUCUUUUCCUGGCAACAGUCCUUCUUUAAAUGGGUAGUUUAACUUCAUCCGGGAAGACAAUACGACCCCAAAUGUCACUUAGCCAGCUCACAAAUCUCUCUUUAUCUUGCCUUCCCCACAAAGGUUGCCCCCAGAAUUUUGUAGACUAAACAGAAAGGAUGUGUAAUAGCUAAUACAAAAGGGUGGGAACAGGCAGGGCAUUGAGACUGAAUGACACUUAAAAUGAACAGGAGGCCCAUUUGGAGGGUGGGGUGGGGGGUGAAAUUAAGUCUAUCUAGUAACUGCAGUGAAGGAUGAAUAAUGCUUCUUAAGAAAGCCUUCUGUAUCUAGGAGCAAUCUUUUGGAUUUUGUCACUUGGUCCACCCAUUUAGUCUUGCCUAAGUAACAGCUUCCAACUUUCCAUCUCUCUUUAGAACCGAGGGCGGCUAACCUGUGGCCCUUCAGGUGUUCUUGGGAGCUCUCCUACCAUCAGCCAUGGCCAGCAUGGCCAAUGGUCAGGGAUGAUGGGAGCAAGGAGUCCAGCAACAUCCGGAGGGUCACAGGUUCCCCACCCCUAUUCUAGAGUGACAAAAACACAUGAGCUGGAAUAGGGGUGAAAGGAGGCAAAAACUGCCUUUCGCCCCACUUGUUAGAGCCCCACAGAUAUGCUAAUAUUGUCCUGCAGCACCUGGAAAACCAACGAAUGGAUCGCAGCAUAGGUUUUCAUAUACUAGAGCACACCUUGUCACAGUUACAAAGUCUUAUAUGCAAUUGCAGGUGUAGAUGUGUGUUGGGAAUCAAG